AGUCGUAACAAGGUAUCCGUAGGUGAACCUGCGGAUGGAUCAUUAUAGGGUGUUGGGUAAUUGUGAGUGGUUUUAUUAUUAGUAGUUUGAGCGGUGUUGGUUGGGAUGCGAAGCAGGAUUGCCAAGCAGGAUUGCCAAGCAAGACAGCCAACAUUGCCUCACGUUAAACUCUAUAAAUCUAACAAUUACAUACAAAAAAAAACAACUUUUAGCAACGGAUCUCUUGGCUCUC
rnacentral:misc_RNA from 1 species